rnacentral:lncRNA from 1 species
GCAAAUUGUCUAAAAUGAAAAAGAGGAACAUGGUGGUCUCUCGACAAAGAGCCUGACACAAAAAUGGAAAAAGAGUACGCGUUUUUCUUUUUCCGGUAAAUGGUAAUACCUCUAACGCGUUUUUCUUUUUCCGGUAAAUGGUAAUACCUCUAAAGCGUUGAUACAAUACUAUUUAUUUGGUGGAUACUCCAUUUGCCUAGCUCUCACGGGCCGUCUUUACUAACCCUAGAAAAUGUUGAGGAUUUGUCUAUCUCCAAAAUCCGAAUCGCUCCGACGCCUUUGAUGUUCAGAUCUGCCGGUGCUCCUGUCGCAGAUGACUUUCGCCCUUCUCUACAACGACCCUUCAUCAAUUUACAAUGAAGAAAUCAAAUAAUUCAGUGUUUUUCUACUUGGAGGGUUUUUAGUGUGACAAGAGCGAGUCAUCUGUGACAGGAUAAUGGAAGUUCUAUUUAUCAAAGGCUUAUUGGGGCGUUUUCUUCCAUGAUCUCCAACACUAUUCUCCAAAGUACUACAGGUAGACAUUUCUUUACUACUCCAUUAGUUACUACUCCAAAGACAAAGUUGCUUGCAAUUUUUUUUAGGUGAUAUGACGAUGAAAUUUUUAAGAAACAUAAGAGGGUAAUUUCCGGUUUAUUGAGUAGAGUAAAAAAGUUUGAAGAAGAGAGGGAUCAGAUUGGGAUAAUCGGGUUUUUCAUUUUAUGAAAUGAGUUUCAGUUUGUUUUGGGGGUUAAAUUUAUUAAGUGAAAGGUUUUAAUUAUGUCGAACAAUUUGUUGUUAAAUUUAGGGUGUUAGGAGGCAACUGUAAUACACGCACUUAAUUUUUUUUAAAGUUUUUCGCGGGCAAUCUGGAUAGUGUUUAAUUGGCACAGAUGAGGUUUAGUUGGAAUGUCCGAUAGGAACAACCCUAUGUUUAGGUGUCCAAAUGACAAAAAAGCGCCAAGUUUAAGGGUCACUUAUGUAUUCUGCCUAUUUUUAUAUAUACGUACACAUAUACAUACAUAGACAGAGCUAUUUGACUACUUACUCUGCACUUUUAGGUGGGUGGGGUACAUAUAUUAAUGCGUAUUAGUUGCCGCAUAUUUCCAUAAUAUGAUUUGUUAUAAGAACAUUAAGGUAUCCUGAUAGUCAGAGGCGGAUUCAUGAUUUAAAUCCUAUGGGUUCAAUUUUAAGAUUUUUAAUAUUGAACUCAUUAUAUUUUUAAAGUUAUGGGUUCAUAUCUACUAUUUUUGUAAUUUUAAUAAAUUUUUACAUACAAAUUUUUACUUCGUGUCGAAAGUUAUGGGUUCAGUUGAACCUAGUAUGCUACAUCCGCCUCCGCUGACAGUGGUCUUGUAAAUUUUUUUGAUACAGCUUUUUAUUAUGACUAAUGCACAAAGCUAUUAGGUGUCUCUCAAGCAAAGUGAUUCCUUCCCCGCUGAAUUUAAUUGUUGAUUAGGAUAGAUCUUUGAUAAUUGUCAUACAAUUAUGUAUAGUAUCUGAAAAGGGGUGAAUGAAGAAGGAAAUGAUGAAUGAUUGAUGAAAAGGCGUCUUAAUUUAGUGUUUGUUGAAGUGUUGUGGAAUGUGGACAUUGAGGUACUCUCUCCUAGGAUGCCAGAUUUGCUCACUGUUUCACUGGGAUUAUGCUUACCAUUGAUAACUUAAUCAACAGACAAAAGUUCUUGCAAAGCAUUGUGCACAUGAACUUCCAUGGUUUGAUUAAUUGUCAACCAUUUUGCGAAAAGACAAGACUAAGGGUGUGUUUGGUAAGAAGGGAAACAUUUUUUAAUUUUUUCAUAUUUGGUUGGUUUAAAUGUUUUCCCUAUCAAGGAAAAUAUUUUCCAAAACUCUUUUUCAACUUUUUCAUUAGUCAGUUAGGCGGGUUAAAUUAGCUUAGACGUCAAAGUUUUGUUAGUUUGCUUAGUUUUGUAGUUCUUAAAAGAAUAUAUACACACCUGUUUUAUUGCUAGUUUUGUUCUUAAAAGAUUAUCUUUUGACAGUCAAAGAUACGAUAUUUCCUUGUCUCACCAAAUCUUUGACUGUCAGAAACUUGAUUUGCAUGAGUUUGGUGCAACUAGUCAGUUUAUUGUUCUCAGAAAAGAACACAACUGCAAUGAUAUCAUUAUAAUAUUACAACAGGUCUCUACGUCAAGUGCACAGCUCUGAGUUUUAAAAUGAAGUUACUGCACUGCAUGUGUAAAUGAACUAUAACGAGCUAAGAAGUGAGUUUUGCUCAGCAUCUGAGUAACCAAUUGCUUCUAGACUAUUAAUCUUUCUAUAUGCCAACACAUUGUCGUCGGUGUUUCUAAAUAUAUCUUAUGAUUCUCUUGGUUGCAACUUGCAACCUAACGAUCAUGACUAGGAUUAAGCAAGUACCCGUCGAGGAAUUUACUGUGUAAGUUAUGAUAUUCAUAAGCAUAUAUCAAAUAAGGAACAUCUUUCAUAGGUUCUCUUCAUUUUAUUUUUGAGGCACUUCUUCGUCUUAUGAUUUGUCUCCUUUGACCAUUGGUACAUCUUCAAUCUUGUAACAUAGUUUUUGGAAAAUUCUCGCACAUAAGACUUCUGAGAUAACCCAAAAAUAAUACAGUAUCUAUUAUCCUCAGAACAUUAUCUAUUACAAUGAAUCUCGAUGCUUUACUACUUGCAAGCAGAACAUUAUCCACAUGAAGUAUGAGAAUAAUGGAUCUUC